CAGCAUAUUCGUGUCCCGUGAGCAAAACGCACAAAACGUCUAGUUUUAAACUAACGUCGAAAUUCUGCUGAGAUUGGUCAAAUUCCGCUCGGAUACUUAAAACGCCCAUUUACAGGAAAAUGCGUAUUCGCUUAUUGAGCAUCUCAACCAGGAAAAGUGUCGUGGAAUUUUCUAGUUCUAUUGUCAACACUCGCCUUUCAGCUCAGUAUUGGUUUGAGCGUGCGUACUGAAGUGCGUCCGGUCAUGUAUUUUCACUUUAAUAGACCUGUUUUGAAUCCCGACCAAACUAAACCGGUAGCUACUUGCAUCGGUCCAUUCCUUAUUGGAAAAAAUUUAAAAAGUCCUUGCGGUUACUAUUAUAGCAAUGCGUCAUACUGCAUUAAUUGUUAUACACAUGGGUGCAGUGAAUUCAGUAGAUCUACGAAUGUAACUAAACAUCUCAAUGUUCCAAAAGGAAACGUCAAUCUGGAGAACGUUCUGGGAACAAAUGGAACCUUGUACUUGGAUUUGGGAGUGCUGUCAUGUUCACUUAUAGCGCCACAUUUCCUCCAGAAGUAUGCAAAACCGUGUGAAGUGCGUGAAAGGCCAAAUGAUGCACAAUUCGCUUUGUCAAUAUAGAAGUGAAACAGAACCAUACGUAGUAAUUACCAGAACUACAUACCCAAUUACUUUGCCAACUACACCUACAACUGGACCACCAAAUGUUUCUUAUUCACCCCAACCGAAUUUUUCUUUGACCACACAGCUACAUCGG
rnacentral:lncRNA from 1 species